rnacentral:rRNA from 1 species
UACAGAGGGGCAAGCGUUGUUCGGAAUUACUGGGCGUAAAGGGCGCGUAGGCGGCCUGCUAAGUCGAACGUGAAAUCCCUGGGCUCAACCCAGGAACUGCGUCCGGAUACUGGUUGGCUUGGAGUUUGGGAGAGGGACGCGGAAUUCCGAGGUGUGAGCGGUGAAAUGCGUAGAUAUCGGGAGGAACACCAGUAGCGAAGGCGGCUCGGCUGGGCCGUUCCUGACGCUGAGACGCGAAAGCUAGGGGAGCGAACGAGG